AGGUGAGUAGCUCAACUGGUAGAGCACUGGUCUCCAAAACCAGCGGUUGCGGGUUCAAGUCCUGCCUCACCUG
rnacentral:tRNA from 1 species